UACGGAGGGUGCAAGCGUUGUCCGGAUUUAUUGGGUUUAAAGGGUACGUAGGCGGCUUAUUAAGUCAGUGGUGAAAGUUUGCAGCUUAACUGUAAAAGUGCCAUUGAUACUGGUAAGCUUGAGUACUGUAGAGGUGGGCGGAAUUCCGCAUGUAGCGGUGAAAUGCAUAGAUAUGCGGAGGAACACCAAAAGCGAAGGCAGCUCACUGGACAGUAACUGACGCUGAGGUACGAAAGCGUGGGGAUCGAACAGG
rnacentral:rRNA from 1 species